rnacentral:sRNA from 1 species
UGAUAAUAUUCCAGACAGCUCUUCCUUAAUUGAAGAGACAAAUGAAUGGCCUUUGGAAAGCUUUUGUGAAGAACUUUGCAAUGACCUUUUUAAUCCCUCCUGGGAGGUUCGACAUGGUGCAGGCACUGGACUUAGGGAAAUUCUUAAAGCUCAUGGGAAAAGUGGUGGUAAAAUGGGUGACAGCACUUUAGAAGAGGUAAGUGUAUUAAUGCAACAAUUAUCACCAAGUAUUAAUAGUUGGCAUCUUUUUCCAAUGUAGGGAAGUAACGAGUAUGUGCCGUGAAGUAGGAAUGAGAGGUAAAUAAGAGGAAGAGAUAUGAAAAGAUGAUUCAGCAGCAUCAAGAGUGGUUGGAAGACUUGGUUAUUAGACUCCUUUGUGUUUUUGCAUUAGACAGAUUUGGAGACUUUGUUUCUGAUGAAGUUGUGGCACCAGUUCGUGAAACUUGUGCUCAAACAUUAGGUGUGGUUUUAAAACACAUGAACGAAACAGGAGUUCAUAAGACUGUGGAUGUGCUGCUAAAAUUACUUACACAAGAACAAUGGGAAGUUAGACAUGGUGGUCUGCUGGGAAUAAAAUAUGCUUUGGCAGUCCGUCAGGAUGUAAUUAAUACUUUAUUGCCUAAAGUUUUAACUAGAAUAAUUGAAGGACUCCAGGAUCUUGAUGAUGAUGUCAGAGCUGUUGCUGCAGCAUCAUUAGUGCCUGUAGUAGAAAGCCUUGUCUAUCUUCAGACACAAAAGGUACCCUUCAUUAUAAAUACAUUGUGGGAUGCUCUUCUGGAAUUAGAUGAUCUAACAGCUUCAACAAAUAGUAUUAUGACUCUCCUUUCAUCCUUGUUAACUUAUCCUCAGGUCCAACAAUGCAGUAUUCAACAGUCACUGACAGUUUUAGUUCCACGUGUCUGGCCUUUUUUGCAUCACACUAUAUCAUCAGUUCGAAGAGCAGCAUUGGAAACUCUGUUUACGUUAUUAUCAACACAGGACCAGAACUCUUCAUCUUGGCUUAUACCUAUACUGCCUGAUAUGCUCCGACACAUUUUUCAGUUCUGUGUUUUGGAAAGCAGCCAGGAAAUUCUGGACCUUAUUCACAAGGUUUGGAUGGAACUGUUGAGUAAGGCUUCAGUUCAGUAUGUGGUAGCAGCUGCUUGCCCAUGGAUGGGUGCUUGGCUUUGCUUGAUGAUGCAGCCUUCUCAUUUACCUAUCGAUUUAAAUAUGUUGCUAGAAGUAAAAGCUAGAGCCAAGGAAAAAACAGGUGGUAAGGUGCGCCAAGGCCAAAGCCAGAAUAAAGAAGUACUUCAGGAGUAUAUUGCAGGUGCCGACACCAUCAUGGAAGACCCAGCCACCAGGGAUUUUGUAGUUAUGCGGGCCAGAAUGAUGGCAGCCAAGUUGUUAGGAGCACUUUGUUGCUGUAUUUGUGAUCCAGGUGUAAAUGUGGUAACUCAAGAAAUUAAACCAGCUGAAUCCCUGGGCCAGUUACUACUCUUCCAUUUGAACUCCAAGUCUGCUUUACAGAGGAUUAGUGUAGCUUUGGUAAUCUGUGAAUGGGCUGCUUUACAAAAGGAGUGUAAAGCUGUUACCUUAGCUGUGCAGCCACGUUUACUUGAUAUCCUUUCAGAACAUUUAUAUUAUGACGAAAUUGCCGUUCCAUUCACACGAAUGCAGAAUGAAUGUAAACAACUUAUAUCAUCAUUAGCUGAUGUACAUAUUGAAGUUGGUAAUCGAGUAAACAACAAUGUUUUAACAAUAGAUCAAGCUAGUGACUUGGUCACUACUGUUUUUAAUGAAGCCACAUCAUCUUUCGAUUUAAAUCCUCAAGUGUUACAACAGUUAGAUAGUAAACGACAGCAGGUCCAAAUGACAGUUACAGAGACCAACCAGGAGUGGCAAGUGUUGCAGUUGAGAGUGCAUACUUUUGCUGCCUGUGCAGUUGUGAGCUUGCAGCAGCUUCCGGAGAAAUUAAAUCCUAUCAUAAAACCAUUAAUGGAGACAAUUAAAAAAGAAGAGAA